CUUAACAUCUAUUUGAAUACACUUCAAGUGUAAAUAGUAUACUAAAAUGGAACAACUUUUUUUUAAAUUCAAGUGCACUAAAAUACACUAAUGAAAAUCAAGAUUCAUGAGCAAUUAAGCACACUUACAGUACAAUUGCAUUGCCUGUCAGGGCCCCUCCUCCCUGAGCUGUCUCCCCUUCCCUUUUGUGUGUCUCCCUUGCCUCUGCCCUUUUGUGUCUGUGUUGUUUGUAUCCGUCAGUCUCUUUUUGUCCCUCAGUGCCCUGAAUCCCCACUUCCAGUGAAGGCACCCCGGCACCAAGGCUGCUGCAAUCACUGCUCAUCUUCCACACCUGCUCCAGUCCACGCCUGGGGCUGAUUGCCACUCUCCCUAUAUCAGGGAGAGGUCGGCCUUCAGUCCCUGCCAGAUAAUUGUCUCAGCCACACGCCGUUCACCCUCCACCACCGGUCACUGCUUUUGUUCCCUCCUCAACUGGAUCUUCUGUUUGGACUCCUCGUGCCGACCUCUGCCUUGCCCUCCGUGCCUCUGGACCCCCAGCCUGUUUCCGACUGUCCUCGCCAGCCGUUUGUACUUCUGCUGAGCUCCAACCUACUCAUACUGGCUCCCAUAACCUCCACGACGGAGCCCCAUCCACAUUAUUCAUUUUCCAAUAAACAGUUGUAUUGUUGAA